rnacentral:rRNA from 1 species
GACGAACCGUGCGAACGUUAUUCGGAAUCACUGGGCUUAAAGCGCGUGUAGGCGGAUGAGCACGUCUGUCGCUGAAAUCCCCCGGCUCAACCGGGGAACGGGCGCGGAUACGGCUCGUCUCGAGGGGCGUAGGGGGACCUGGAACUUCCGGUGGAGCGGUGAAAUGCGUAGAGAUCAUGAGGAAGACCAGUGGCGAAGGCGGGUCUCUGGACAGUUCCUGACACUGAGGCACGAAGGCCAGGGGAGCAAACGGG